rnacentral:rRNA from 1 species
UGCCAGCCGCCGCGGUAAUACGAAGGGGGCAAGCGUUGCUCGGAACUACUGGGCGUAAAGGGCGCGUAGGCGGAUCGAUUAGUCAGGGGUGAAAGCCAUGGGCUCAACCUGUGAACUGCCUUUGAUACUAUCGAUCUAGAGUUCGUGAGAGGAUGGCGGAAUACCCAGUGUAGAGGUGAAAUUCGUAGAUAUUGGGUAGAACACCAGUGGCGAAGGCGGCCAUCUGGCACGAUACUGACGCUGAGGCGCGAAAGCGUGGGGAGCAAACAGGAUUAGAUA